GGGUAGGAUUAGAUUUGAUCUUAAGCAUGUGGGGUUAAAGGAUUUAACUUGUUUGUUUUUCGUUGCGUUCAAAAAUAUUUUAAAAUAUACACAUGCUGCCUAUUCAAUUUUUUAACAGUGAUAUCAGAGUCACAGAUUUUUAAAAAUACAUAUGAUCUAAUUUUUCUAUUAGAUCUGAAAGUUUUAAUGAUUUAAAAUCAAUCUUGUGCUGAUAUAAGGUUAUCU
rnacentral:lncRNA from 1 species